rnacentral:rRNA from 1 species
CAGGAUGAACGCUAGCGACAGGCUAACACAUGCAAGGUCGAGGGGCAGCAUAAAAGUAGCAAUACUUGGUGGCGACCGGCGCACGGGUGAGUAACGCGUAUGCAACCUACCUAUCAGAGGGGAAUAACCCGGCGAAAGUCGGACUAAUACCGCAUAAAACAGGGACACCGCAUGGUGAUAUUUGUUAAAGAAAUUCGCUGAUAGAUGGGCAUGCGUUCCAUUAGGUAGUUGGUGAGGUAACGGCUCACCAAGCCGACGAUGGAUAGGGGAACUGAGAGGUUGGUCCCCCACACUGGUACUGAGACACGGACCAGACUCCUACGGGAGGCAGCAGUGAGGAAUAUUGGUCAAUGGGCGAGAGCCUGAACCAGCCAAGUCGCGUGAAGGAAGAAGGAUCUAUGGUUCGUAAACUUCUUUUGCAGGGGAAUAAAGUGCGGGACGUGUCCUGUUUUGUAUGUACCCUGAGAAUAAGGAUCGGCUAACUCCGUGCCAGCCGCUGC